CUUCCUGCCAUGUGGUGACAGAUUAAAAGCUGCUAUACACUUUGGAACUGGAAACUGAGCUCCCAAUAUAAAGGAGAUAAGCCAUCAUGCUUACAAUAUGUUGUGCAGAGCUCACUGGUGGGCAGUUUUUCUUAACAAUGCAUCAGGACUUUUGCUAUUUGUAAAGGAAGCUUAAAGGAAGCUGAGAGUGCUGAGGGCACAUCUGAAACCACUGGAGGUUGGCGACGUGGAGGUCAGGUAGUAGUGCUCUCCCACCAGGAGUCCCUCUGCACCCCUGGAGAGAGCAGUCAUUAUGCAGGACAACCCAUCUGCUCAGAACUUUCAGUGGCGACUUGUGGUGUGACUCUGUUCCCAUUCAUCUAUGUGCUGCUGUAGGCUUAGCUUCCCACAGCCUCCCCAGCUUUGCCAUUUGUCAUUAUCAUUUACUCUUAAUAUUUAUUCUAUCUAUGACCCUGAUGCACAGAGUGAUAGCUGAUAGUCUCUUAAAACAACGUUUACAAUUAUUUUGACAGUUUACCGUGUUUUGUUCUCUCAACAAUACUUAGAAUUUGUCUGAGUUAUAGUUGCAUAGACGGCAAUUUUCCUGACCUAGUUUUCUGACUAUGAUUUAUGGGUCAGUAAACUCCUUAAAUGAUGGAAUAUAACAUCUCAGGCCACAGGGAACACUUACUAUCACAUGCUCACUGUUGCAGGACGGAUGCGUGGCCAGCCUCAGGUUGCUAAAUGUUAGGGUGAUCUGCCUUCCUUCUGGGGCGGUGAUUCUCCACUUGUAGAUCCGGCCAUGAGGAUUUAGGUUCGGGUAGUUGGGAGAAGUAGAUGUUCCAGCAGAGCCCUGAAGAUCCCCACCACACUCUGAUGUGGGGGAAGAAAGCCAAGAAAACUUCCAAUCAAAUCAAAAUGUCUCCUUCCAUCAGGAAAGCUCUCAAAAUUCAGGUGUCCUGCGUGUACAAAGAAAAUAAUAAAAAACAAGACCUUGCCCAUGAAGAAAUAUUAAUCUCUCUCAAGAAAACAGGAAAACAUGAAUGAAAAUUAACAUAUUCAAAUAUAUGAAGAAGUGAAAAAAAUGCAACCAGUUAGGGGAAGGAUAUCUCAGGAUAAUGAGGAAGGCCAGUUUUUUGGUUGAAAAAGUGGUUUGAGACAACAGAGUGACAAAUAUCUGCCUUAUGCUACUGCCAGGAGACAUGCAUGACCCUCUUUCUGCCUCAAGCUAUAGAACACCCCUCAAAUAACGGCAUCUGGCAAUGGGAUGUCUCAGCAGCAACAGGUUGCCUUCCCACUACCGUUGCUCUCCCCAGGUGGCCUCCAGGGUAGGCUAUAUGACACCUGGGCUCUGGACAUCCAUUGUUAAUGGUAGAAUUGAGGUAGAGAAUCACUGGUACUGCCCAAAGCCCAUUAAUCUGCACUUCUUUGCAGAGUAUAGACAUGCUUUGCCUUUCUUGGAAGUGAAGAAACUUCAGAGGCUGAAUAAGUACAUGCGAAAAUAAACACCCCAAAGAGAGCAGAUAUAUUUCACUAACCAGAAGUAUGAUAGUCCCAGGUCUCCACAAAGUCUUUUUCACAGCCAGAGGAAUUCUGAAGGUUAAAAUCUUCAAAAGAGAUGGUGAGAUAGUGUCUGGAGAGCCCCUGGAGAUGCCAAUCACAGAAUAAGUUGUCUCUAUAUGGAAGCAUUAGAUGGCCAAUGCUUUCAACAACACCACUUUGCCCUGUUACUCUUCCCCCACACUGAGCUGAAAAAAAAAAGAAAGAAAGAAAGAAAAGAAAGAAAGGAUUCUAUUACAAACUGUGUUUUUUUCAUUUCACCAGCACAUGUGAAAACUUUUAGGUGCCAAGUGACUAUGAAUUGAAGUUUUUAAAAUUCUGAAAAUGCUUAGUGCUUUCCUCAUUAUUUGAAUUCUAGGGUUGAUGUAAACAGAAGUGAUACCACAAGUCCAAUCCAAUAAUGGGAAACAAGAUGACGACCAAAUGGCACAUUCUGUAAUGUCACAUUAAUUCUUUUGGGACACUAUGUAAGAGCUAUCAGUUGCAAGCAAGUUUCAUCUCAAGAACAAACUGGUAGACUCAUCUGACCUGCCUAGAACCUUGUGUUGAUUCUAAAGACUGAACCCAAGCUCACCUGGAAGGGGGGACACCUGCUAUAUCUAGUUUUACUAUCAACUAAACUUUCACUACUGUAACUGAUAUCUCAGGGCCUUGAAAAUUACUAUUCAAUUAUGUCUUAUUAGCUGGAUGUGGUAGCUAAUUGAAUUAUAUGCAGCUUGACCCGGGAUAUAAUAUGAUCUAUGGUGUAGUUAAAUACUGUUACAACUAGCCUUUCUGAACUUUUGCUAUAUUAAAUAUUUGUUUGGUUUGUGUCUAGACCUAUCAGAUACUAAAUUGUGUGCUAUUGUGACCAUACUAUAGUGAAUCUUCAACAAGCAAAGUUACUGCUCAAUUUUUAAGUAAGGAAAUCAAAAUCCUGAAGAGACAUAUUUGCUUUUUAUCCAGUGACUGAUUUGGCACUAGAGACUCAGAGAAAAAAAAAAAGCUUAAUCAUUUUAUAUAUGAUGAGGAAUUCAAAGACAUUGUUCUAAAUAUAGUUAUCUGGUUCUUAAAUAGUUGUAUUACUUAAAGUAAUAAACAUACUGUAGUUCUUCCUUUUCCUUGGCGGAUACAUUCCAAGUCCCCCCAGUGAGUGCCUAAAACCUUGGAUAGUACCAAACCCUAUAUAGACAUAUAGACAAUUUUUUUCUACAUAUAUGUACCUAUGAUAAAGCUUGCUUUAUCAAUUAAACGUAGUAAGAGAUUAACUAAUAAUAAAAUAGAACAAUCAUAACAAUAUACUGUAAGAAAAGUUAUGUAAAUGUGGUCUCUCAAAAUAUCUUGGUGUACUGUACUCACCUAUUUUUUGGGCCUCUGUUUACCAAGUGCAUUGAAACCAUGGAACAUGAAACCAUGGAUAAGAGAGAACUACUGAAUUUCAUAGUAAGCAGAAGAAACAGGAGUUUGAUUUAACUACACAUAUUUCUUCACAAAUAAGUUAGAAAAAAUAUAAAAUAUUCAAGUUUACUAAGAUUACAUUUUAAAAUAAAAAUUAAAAGAGAAAUUAAAGUUGAUGACUGUGGUUUUAAACAUUUACACUCCUUACUUAUUUAUAGCAUUAAAAUAUUUUUAAAAUUAUGCAGAUAGAAUGACUUCUUUUUAAAAAGUCAUGGUUUUAAAAAAAGUUUUAACAUAUUCAUCCUGUAAUAACUCUUUUAUUUAAUAUAAAAAUGUUUUCCAGGGUUUUUAUAGUUUUGUGUUUUACAGUUAAGUCUUCAAUCUAUCUUGAAUUGAUUUUUGUAUAUGGUAUAAGGAAGGGGUCCAGUUUCAAUCUUCCGCAUAUUGCUAGCCAGUUCUCCCAGCAUCAUUUAUUGGAUAGGGAGUCUUUUCCCCAUUGCUUGCUUUUGUCAGCUUUGUUGAAGAUCAGAUGCCUGUAAGUGUGAGGCCCUAUUUCUAAGCUCUCUAUUCCAUUUUAUUGGUCUAUGUGUCUAUUUUUGUACCAGUACCAUGCUGUUUUGGUUACUGUACCCCUGUAGUAUAGUUUCAAGUCAGGUAUUGUGAUGCCUCCAGCUUUGUUCUUUUAGUUUAGGAUUGCCUUGGUUAUUUGGGUUCUUUCUGGGGUCCAUAUGAGUUUUAAAAUAGUUUUUUCUAGUACUGUGAAGAAUGUCAUGGUAGUUUGAUAGGAAUAGCAUUGAAUAUGUAAAUUUGGGGAAGCAGUAUGACCACUUUAAUAAUACUGAUUCUUCCUAUCUAUGAGCAUGGAAUUUUUUUUCAUUUGAUAGGGUGGAGGGUGGGAGAAGGGAGAGGGGCAGAAAAAAUAGCUAUUAGAUACUAGGCUUAGUACCUGAGUGAUGAAAUAAUCUUUAUAAUGACCCCCAUGGCACGAGUUUACCUAUAUAACAAACCUGCACAUGUAACCCUGAACCUAAAAUAAAAGUUAAAAAAUA
ensembl:lncRNA LINC02632 long intergenic non-protein coding RNA 2632